rnacentral:rRNA from 1 species
GAUGAACGCUGGCGGCGUGCUUAACACAUGCAAGUCGAACGAAGCUGCUUGAAGGAAGUCUUCGGAUGGAAUUUAAGUAGACUUAGUGGCGGACGGGUGAGUAACGCGUGGAUAACCUGCCUUAUACAGGGGGAUAACGGAGAGAAAUUUCCGCUAAGACCGCAUAAGACCACAGCACCGCAUGGUGCAGGGGUAAAAUAUUUAUAGGUAUAAGAUGGAUCCGCGUCUGAUUAGCUAGUUGGUGAGGUAGAGGCUCACCAAGGCGACGAUCGGUAGCCGGCCUGAGAGGGUGAACGGCCACAUUGGGACUGAGACACGGCCCAAACUCCUACGGGAGGCAGCAGUGGGGAAUAUUGGACAAUGGGGGAAACCCUGAUCCAGCGACGCCGCGUGAGUGAAGAAGUAUUUCGGUAUGUAAAGCUCUAUCAGCAGGGAAGAAAAUGACGGUACCUGACUAAGAAGCCCCGGCUAACUACGUGCCAGCAGCCGCGGUAAUACGUAGGGGGCAAGCGUUAUCCGGAUUUACUGGGUGUAAAGGGAGCGCAGACGGCGAAGCAAGUCUGAAGUGAAAUGCAUGGGCUCAACCCAUGAAUUGCUUUGGAAACUGUUUGGCUUGAGUGUCGGAGGGGUAAGCGGAAUUCCUAGUGUAGCGGUGAAAUGCGUAGAUAUUAGGAGGAACACCGGAGGCGAAGGCGGCUUACUGGACGACAACUGACGUUGAGGCUCGAAGGCGUGGGGAGCAAACAGG